rnacentral:rRNA from 1 species
UACGUAGGAGGCGAGCGUUGUCCGGAAUUACUGGGCGUAAAGAGCGCGUAGGCGGCGCGGUACGACCGCUGUGAAAGCCCCCAGCUCAACUGGGGAGGGUCAGCGGUAACGGCCGUGCUUUGAGUGCAGGAGAGGGAAGUGGAACUCCGGGAGUAGCGGUGAAAUGCGUAGAGAUCGGAAAGAACACCAACGGCGAAAGCACUCUGCUGGGCCGACACUGACACUGAGAGACGAAAGCUAGGGGAGCGAAUGGG